AUUCAGCUGAUGAAUCCAAAAUAGAACGAAACACGUGUCCUGGUU
rfam:Schistosoma margrebowiei strain Zambia genome assembly, scaffold: SMRZ_scaffold0002234